GUCUGCACUCUCCCAAUGAGGGCCGCUUGUCUCUGCCUCAGUACCAAAGGCAUGGGGUAAAUUGGCUCAUUUGGGGUUAGGGCGAUGACAUCAAGAAGCAGGGUCUGAAGUCUAGGCCGCUAUUCUGGGGUCUCUCAGAAGGUCAGCGUUGGUCCAUUGAUGGAGAUUACUUAAGACUGAAAGUCAUCAUUAACCUGCGUGUCCUAAGGAGGGAGCUCCCAGGGAGAGGUCUGAGCUGUUUUUGGAAACCUACAAUGGAGGAACAUCAGGCUCAAAGACAGCCCUCAAUGACUGAAGAUUUCUGAGCUUUCAUCUUUAAGACCUUCCUGUUACAUGUCCUCUUAAGAUCCUGGGGACUUGGCUGACCCCAAGCAGCACUGAUUCAGCAGUAUGCUGACUCUGAGAAUGUUAGAUGUUGCAUGAAAAAGGGCUGCAAGAAGCAGCCAGAGGGCUGAAGCUGUGCAGUUUGGAGAAGGGGACAGGGUAGUCACCCUCUCCCACCCCCAGGCUGGGUGAACCAGCAGUGGCCUGGGUGACCACAGAGGGCAGAACUAGGACCAGUGGUAGAAAAGUCAUAGGAAGCAGAUUUCAAUCCUAAUUAUGACAGACUUUUUCCAUUUUUGAGCAACUGAGCUUCAUGAGCUCCCUGUCUUUGGAGGUAUUCCAGCAGAGACUAGCUGAUCACUUACAAAGAAUGUUGGAGACAGAAUUGAUGCAUCUAGUGAGGCUGUGGAGUGACUAGAUGAUUUCUGCAAUUCCUUUUAGCCUGGUGACCCUGUACUCGAUAUGGGACCAGGUAGGAGUAUAACUUCAGCGUUUGCAUGCUGUAAGCCUUAGCAGUCAGCAUCCUCUCUUCCCCUGCUCCCCAAAAUCACCUGAAGGUUAAUCUAAAGACAGCCAAGUUAGAUCCUUUCUCUGGUAGGCAACACUUGAGUCUCAUAUUGAUGCAAAGCCACCAUAAAGCAGCAUUCACAAUACACAUCACUUGAGAUUAGAUGGCCAGAGGUCAGAAUUUAUAUUUGGAUGCUUGCAAAAAGACCUGCUCAUAAAUUUCAUGCCUGUUGCGUUGAAUGAGAAAGACUUGAUGCUGGAAUAUAGAGAGAAAAACACAUUCCACAAUGCCUGCUGUCCAAGCAAAGAGCCUGUACAGGACCUUGUGUCAACCCAAAUGUCUACAGAUGUAUCAUCCCAGAGCAGCCUGAAUUGGGGGCAAUACCCAUAGCUAGUGCCUGAUGGAAUAAGAGUGCCUGAACCGCUUGGUGUGGGCGAUACUAUUAUUCCUUCAAAGUACUCCAGACUGAAGAAUCUUAGCUCCUAUCAUAGUGGUUGUCUACUUAAAAGGAAAGUUACAUUUUUGGAAAGAAGAAAACACAGUGUCAGUUCUAGGAGUCAGGAAACAUUUAAAAGAUAAAGAAAGAAGAGAAUGCAGUGGUUCACAGCCCAUCCGCUGAGUUAGAACCAGUCCAAAGAAUGAAAAGAGUGCUGAGGCAGGAGAAUCGCUUGAACCCGG